AUUGAACGCUGGCGGCAUGCUUUACACAUGCAAGUCGAACGGUAACAGGCCGCAAGGUGCUGACGAGUGGCGAACGGGUGAGUAAUGCAUCGGAACGUGCCCAGUCGUGGGGGAUAACGCAGCGAAAGCUGCGCUAAUACCGCAUACGAUCUAUGGAUGAAAGCGGGGGACCGUAAGGCCUCGCGCGAUUGGAGCGGCCGAUGUCAGAUUAGGUAGUUGGUGGGGUAAAGGCCUACCAAGCCAACGAUCAGUAGCUGGUAUGAGAGGACGACCGGACACACGGGGACUGAGACACGGCCCAGACUCCUACGGGGGGCAGCAGUGGGGAAUUUUGGACAAUGGGCGCAAGCCUGAUCCAGCAAUGCCGCGUGCAGGAAGAAGGCCUUCGGGUUGUAAACUGCUUUUGUACGGAACGAAACGGUCCGGGUUAAUACCCUGGGCUAAUGACGGUACCGUAAGAAUAAGCACCGGCUAACUACGUGCCAGCCGCCGCGGUAACAC
rnacentral:rRNA from 1 species